rnacentral:rRNA from 1 species
GACGAACGCUGGCGGCGUGCUUAACACAUGCAAGUCGAACGGAAAGGCCUCUUUCGGGGGGUACUCGAGUGGCGAACGGGUGAGUAACACGUGAGUAACCUGCCCUUGACUUUGGGAUAACUUCAGGAAACUGGGGCUAUUACCGGAUAGGAGCUCCUGCUGCAGGGUGGGGGUUGGAAAGUUUCGGCGGUUGGGGAUGGACUCGCGGCUUAUCAGCUUGUUGGUGGGGUAGUGGCUUACCAAGGCUUUGACGGGUAGCCGGCCUGAGAGGGUGACCGGCCACAUUGGGACUGAGAUACGGCCCAGACUCCUACGGGAGGCAGCAGUGGGGAAUAUUGCACAAUGGGUGGAAGCCUGAUGCAGCAACGCCGUGUGCGGGAUGACGGCCUUCGGGUUGUAAACCGCUUUCGCUCAUGACGAAGCUUUGUGUGACGGUAGUGGGUAAAGAAGCACCGGCUAACUACGUG